rnacentral:rRNA from 1 species
GAUGAACGCUAGCGGCAGGCUUAACACAUGCAAGUCGAGGGGUAGGAGAAGCUUGCUUUUCUGAGACCGGCGCACGGGUGCGUAACGCGUAUGCAAUCUACCUUUCACAGAGGGAUAGCCCAGAGAAAUUUGGAUUAAUACCUCAUAGUAUAAUUGAGUGGCAUCAUUUAAUUAUUAAAGAUUUAUCGGUGAAAGAUGAGCAUGCGUCCCAUUAGCUAGUUGGUAUGGUAACGGCAUACCAAGGCAACGAUGGGUAGGGGUCCUGAGAGGGAGAUCCCCCACACUGGUACUGAGACACGGACCAGACUCCUACGGGAGGCAGCAGUGAGGAAUAUUGGACAAUGGGCGCAAGCCUGAUCCAGCCAUGCCGCGUGCAGGAUGACGGUCCUAUGGAUUGUAAACUGCUUUUAUACAGGAAGAAACACCUCUACGUGUAGAGACUUGACGGUACUGUAAGAAUAAGGAUCGGCUAACUCCGUGCCAGCAGCCGCGGUAAUACGGAGGAUCCAAGCGUUAUCCGGAAUCAUUGGGUUUAAAGGGUCCGUAGGCGGUCAGGUAAGUCAGUGGUGAAAGCCCAUCGCUCAACGGUGGAACGGCCAUUGAUACUGUCUGACUUGAAUUAUUAGGAAGUAACUAGAAUAUGUAGUGUAGCGGUGAAAUGCUUAGAGAUUACAUGGAAUACCAAUUGCGAAGGCAGGUUACUACUAAUUGAUUGACGCUGAUGGACGAAAGCGUGGGUAGCGAACAGGAUUAGAUACCCUGGUAGUCCACGCCGUAAACGAUGGAUACUAGCUGUUGGGAGCAAUCUCAGUGGCUAAGCGAAAGUGAUAAGUAUCCCACCUGGGGAGUACGAACGCAAGUUUGAAACUCAAAGGAAUUGACGGGGGCCCGCACAAGCGGUGGAGCAUGUGGUUUAAUUCGAUGAUACGCGAGGAACCUUACCAAGGCUUAAAUGUAGAUUGACCGGUUGGAAACAGACU